UACGUAGGGGGCAAGCGUUAUCCGGAUUCAUUGGGCGUAAAGAGCGCGUAGGCGGCUUGUUAAGCGAGAUGUGAAAACCGGGGGCUUAACCCGCGGCCUGCAUCUCGAACUGGCAGGCUUGAGUCUGGUAGAGGAGUGUGGAAUUCCCAGUGUAGCGGUGAAAUGCGCAGAUAUUGGGAGGAACACCAGUGGCGAAGGCGGCACUCUGGGCCACGACUGACGCUGAGGCGCGAAAGCUAGGGGAGCGAACAGG
rnacentral:rRNA from 1 species